AGCCUCCGGAUUAUCAAUUUCUUUGGAGCAGAGAAAAUAAUUAAUCGACAUGGUUUCUUCGUUCAGAACUUUGAUUUGUUGCUACGCUAUUUUCAAUGUGAUGGCAUCAUUACUUUUAUCGUUCACAUCGAUUUAUAUUGAUAGAGAUUGCAGUGUCAUUAAAAAUCGUUCCUAUAGAGAAACGAAACCAGAUGAUUUAGAGCCUCUCAAAGCAAUUUUACUACUAGUCACGUCAACGGCGUUUUUAUACAAUCAAAUUUUUAACGCCUAUUGUAAUUGUACAACUUACAGUGAGUUUUAUUUCUUCAUGAUAAAUAUGAUUUUUUAUCUUCAGUGGAAAUCGAUAAAUCAGAAAGCAACGGUUGUGUAAGAACACCAAAUCAAUAAGCUUUAGCAA